GACGAACGCUGGCGGCGUGCUUAACACAUGCAAGUCGAACGGAAAGGCCCUGCUUUUGUGGGGUGCUCGAGUGGCGAACGGGUGAGUAACACGUGAGUAACCUGCUCUUGACUUUGGGAUAACUUCAGGAAACUGGGGCUAAUAUCGGAUAGGAGCUCCUGCUGCAUGGUGGGGGUUGGAAAGUUUCGGCGUUUGGGGAUGGACUCGCGGCUUAUCAGCUUGUUGGUGGGGUAGUGGCUUACCAAGGCUGUGACGGGUAGCCGGCCUGAGAGGGUGACCGGCCACAUGGGGACUGAGAUACGGCCCAGACUCCUACGGGAGGCAGCAGUGGGGAAUAUUGCACAGUGAGCGGAAGCCUGAUGCAGCAACGCCGCGUGCGGGAUGACGGCCUUCGGGUUGUAAACCGCUUUCGCCUGUGACGAAGCGUGAGUGACGGUAAUGGGUAAAGAAGCACCGGCUAACUACGUG
rnacentral:rRNA from 1 species